rnacentral:rRNA from 1 species
CUCGUAGGCGGCCAACUAAGUCAGACGUGAAAUCCCUCGGCUUAACCGGGGAACUGCGUCUGAUACUGGAUGGCUUGAAUCCGGGAGAGGGAUGUGGAAUUCCAGGUGUAGCGGUGAAAUGCGUAGAUAUCUGGAGGAACACCGGUGGCGAAGGCGGCAUCCUGGACCGGUAUUGACGCUGAGUGAGCGAAAGCCAGGGAGCAAACG